AAUUAAGGUGCGUAAUUAGCGAUCGCUGACUCGCAGUUUCUAUCUGAACAGGAUACAAGACCUGAAAUUUGAGGGAGGUCAAUAGUCGAUUACAUCGGCUCCAAUAUUUGAUUGGUAUUUAAUUUAUCCACCCAGAAGGAAUAAAAGGUUAAAGUCAGCCUCGACGGAAUUUGAACUCAGAACGUACCUCGUCUUAAUUAAUAACUUCCAAACUGAAAUGUUGGUUUGUUGCUUGUGAAAACCUAUGAUCGGAUGUUAGAUGUGAUAUAGAGGAAAUUUAUUUGUAAAAUGAGAAGAAAACGUUGUGAUUAACGAGUAAAAACGAACGGAGAACCGGCAUAACUACAGAUUCAUGCCCCACCACUUUGGAUGAUCAUUAUCACAACAUGUUGACGUGAAGGAAAUCUCUCCAUUCAGAAGUGUCUUUGAUAUUCUCAUCACCUAAAGGAAGACAGUAUAUUUAUAAGGAGCAUUCAUGAAUAAGUCUACCUCUGUAUAUAAAUACAGUCUAUAACAAGGAACAGCGAAAUAUUUUUCUUUCUGUGGAAUGUAUGGAAGAAACAUUGCAUUAAAUUGUUAUCUGAAUGAAGUGACAAAAGUGAACAGAAAUGUAUUCAUGGAAAUGAAAAACACUUUAUCAUUGUGAAGUGUAUGAUAAGUAAUUCUCUCAAAAUGAAUAAUUUAACUGUAUCAGAAAACCUUGAUAAAGAGGAAAAGCCAUAUCACUGUAAUAUCUGUGGAAAAUCAUUUUCUUACAGUAGUGACAUUUCUAGACACAAACGUACACAUACAGGAGAGAAACCUUAUCAUUGUGAGAUCUGUGGUAAAUCAUUCUCUG
rnacentral:lncRNA from 1 species